UACGUAGGGGGCAAGCGUUGUCCGGAUUUAUUGGGCGUAAAGAGCGUGUAGGCGGCCAGGUAGGUCCGUUGUGAAAACUCGAGGCUCAACCUCGAGACGUCGAUGGAAACCAUCUGGCUAGAGUCCGGAAGAGGAGAGUGGAAUUCCUGGUGUAGCGGUGAAAUGCGUAGAGAUCCGGAGGAACACCAGAGGCGAAGGCGGCCUGCUGGGCUGCACCUGACGCUGAGCCGCGAAAGCCAGGGGAGCGAACGGG
rnacentral:rRNA from 1 species